rnacentral:rRNA from 6 species
GCUGACGAGUGGCGGACGGGUGAGUAAUGUCUGGGAAACUGCCUGAUGGAGGGGGAUAACUACUGGAAACGGUGGCUAAUACCGCAUAACGUCGCAAGACCAAAGAGGGGGACCUUCGGGCCUCUUGCCAUCAGAUGUGCCCAGAUGGGAUUAGCUUGUUGGUGAGGUAACGGCUCACCAAGGCGACGAUCCCUAGCUGGUCUGAGAGGAUGACCAGCCACACUGGAACUGAGACACGGUCCAGACUCCUACGGGAGGCAGCAGUGGGGAAUAUUGCACAAUGGGCGCAAGCCUGAUGCAGCCAUGCCGCGUGUAUGAAGAAGGCCUUCGGGUUGUAAAGUACUUUCAGCGGGGAGGAAGGUGUUGUGGUUAAUAACC